GAAGAAAUGGACGGCCGUGAAAUAUGGUGAGAAUUAGAGAAUUGUUUUUAAAAUUGCUGUGAUGAACACUAUAAUUGGCAACGAGGAUGGGAUAGAUUUCCAAGUCCGGUAUUACAGUUUGAUCACCAGGAUCAGUAAUCAUAAAUAAGGUGGAUACAGAAAUUCUAUCUUCAUUAACCAAAAACCUAUUUGUUUCGAAAUCGGCUGGUAUCGACGAUGUCAACGCAAAAAACGACGAUUAUGGCGCAUCGAAACCAAUUGAAAUUGGCUCAUUCUCAGAUUCGAAGCUCGUUGGUACCACUUCUGGAAGUCAACCGAAGGAAACGCAGACGGGAAGAAUCGGAGGAAUUCCACGGCUAUACGGUAUCCGAGAACGAGGAGGAGCCAUUCCUGGGGUUCCCAGAGACGAGGAGUGAUCCAAAAUCUACCAAAACGGACCGACAGGAAACGAGCGAUAGCCUGAUAAUGACCAGUAGUCGCGCUCGAAAAGUCAGACGAAAAAUUGAACGAUCUGAGUUCAACGAAUAAUACGCGCGUAGCGCGAUCGAUUGAAAUUCAGUGAAAUCUGAGUUUCUGAGAUAGUUUGAAUUGUAUUUAAUGAACUGUAGAGAAGGCUUUAGUUAAAACUUUCGAAGGCAGUUUUAAUUUAGAAUUUAAAUAAGUAUGUAGCAAGGUUCUUGAGAAGGAAGGACUGCAGUGUACCAUAAAAAUAAUAAUGUUCGGUAAAAUGGGUAAACCCUUUCGU